rnacentral:rRNA from 2 species
UACGAGAGGCCCAAACGUUAUUCGGAAUCACUGGGCUUAAAGAGUUCGUAGGCGGUCUAGAAAGUUGGGUGUGAAAGCCCUCGGCUCAACCGAGGAACUGCGCUCAAAACUACUAGACUUGAGGGAGAUAGAGGUGAGCGGAACUGAUGGUGGAGCGGUGAAAUGCGUUGAUAUCAUCAGGAACACCGGAGGCGAAGGCGGCUCACUGGGUCUCUACUGACGCUGAGGAACGAAAGCUAGGGGAGCAAACGGG